AUUUAUGGAGAGUUUGAUUCUGGCUCAGAACGAACGCUGGCGGCGUGCUUAAUACAUGCAAGUCGUACGAGAAAGUCCGGCUUCGGUUGGACGAGUAAAGUGGCGAACGGGUGAGUAACACGUGGAUAAUCUGCCUGUGCAUCCGGGAUAAUCCUUCGAAAGGAGGUCUAAUACCGGGUAACAUUCCAGGGCGGCAUCGCCUGGGAAUCAUAGACGGGGCAACCUGUCGUGUACAGAUGAGUCCGCGCCUCAUUAGCU
rnacentral:rRNA from 1 species